ACGCGUCGUCGGGCCGCAGCAGCUGCGCUCCGAGGCCAACGAGCGGCUCUUCGACGAGAAGUACAAGCCCGUGGUGCUCACCGACGACCAGGUGGACCAGGCGCUGUGGGAGGAGCAGGUCUUGCAGAAGGAAAAAAAGGACAGGCUCGCCCUGAGCCAGGCCGACUCCCUGGUGCGGCCCGAGGCGCCCCGUUAACCCCCGCCCCCCCACGGCGGACUCCUGUGCCCCAGAGUGCACGGCCUCUGCGAGCGAGGGAAGAACGCUAAGUGGAAAUCCGGGUCCAGGCACCUGAGCUCUCCUGUUCUGGACGAGACAGUCUUCAGAGGCUCAGGGACGCUCGGAUUGAGAGCAAAUAGCCCACAGCCUCCAACCUCUUCGCGGCGCUCAGCGAGCUGACGGCGGAGGCGGGCUGUGCGGAGGCAGGUGGUGAGGGCUGCGGGGCUUGGAGUGGCGCCCGAACCCGCAUAUCUCUGCAGGGCGGCAGCGUUUAAAAGCGGAAACCAGUAUAAAUGGACACGCGGACACAACAUCCCAGGUCCGUUCUGCCGACACCGCAGUCAUUCACGAGCGGGUGAGAUCUACAGACACCAGCAUGGACGGACGUCCCGGAUGUGCAGGACCUAGCAAGAGCGAGUUUCGGAAGAGGCGGAGAUAAACUCCCCAAAGUCGAACUGCUGGGGUCAAGGACGUGUGCAUUGUGGAGUCACGCCCGUUAGGGUGGCCAUAACACCCGGAAGAUACCAAGCGUUAGCGAGGGGGCGGGGCAAUCGGAACCGGCGCUCGGUGGCUGGGAACGUAAAAUAGUGGAACCGCUGUGCACCUGAUUUGGUGGGGCACUCGGAUGGCUCAGUCUGGUAAGGAUCCGACCCUGGCUCAGGUCAUGACCUCACAGUCCGUGGGUUCGAGCCCUCACGCUCUGUGUCCCUCCCUCUUAUUUUUGAAGUAAAAAAAAAAAAAAAGGCCAAGGUGGUUUCUUUUUUAAAUUUUUUAAAAAUGUUUUAUUUAUUGUUGAGACAGACAGAGACAGAGUAUGAGCGGGGAGGGGAAGAGAGAAAGGGACACACAGAAUCAGAAGCAGGUUCCAGGCUCUGAGCUGUCAGCAGAGCCCGAUGCGGGGCUCGAACCCACGAACGUGAGAUCAUGACCUGAGCCGAAGUCGGAGGCUUAACCGACUGAGCCAGCCAGGUGCCCCCAAGAUGGUAAUUUUUAUGUGAUGUGUAUUUUUCCAUUUGUCAGUUUGGUCAACACUGUCAUUUGUGGUGUCCCCCCACCAACGCGUUGUGCAGCUGCCUGCCGUCCCACAGCGUCCACCACGGAGUGAGGGAUUAGCUUCUGGAUUUCACCAAAUCGAUGAUUGAAAGAUAGUGGCUCAUUGCAGUCUUUAAUUUCUAUUUCUUUUUUAAUUUAUUUUUUUUAAACAUUUAUUUUUUGAGAGACAGAGAGAGACAGAGCACGAGCGGUGAAGAGGCAGAGAGAGACACACACAGAAUCUGAAGCAGGCUCCAGGCCCUGAGCUGCCAGCACAGAGCCCGACGUGGGGCUCGAACCCACGAACGUGAGAUCAUGACUUGAGCUGAAGUCAGACGUUUAACCGACUGAGCCUCCCAGGCGCCCCGAUUUCUAUUUCUUUUACGAGCGAUGUUGAGCAUCUUGUCAUGGGCUGAGAAGCCGUUUUUAGUCAGGGGUGUGGGUUGGCUUGGCUCUCUGGAGUGACUGAUCACACCCUUUGCUCCCUUUCCCCUUCGGUAGCUAAUCUCUACUCACUGAUGAGAUCUCUUCACAUUAGCACACGAGGCCUUUCCCUUGGGCCGGCGUUAUAAAUACUCCUCCUGGAUAGUGAUUCACGUCGGACACACAAAAGUGUAUUUACGUGGUUGAGUUGAUCAGUAUUUACGCUUGCAGCUUCAGAGCCAAAGUUAGAAAGGUUUUUUCCCAUAUUAAGUUUAGAAAGUCUUCAAAGGAUAAUAUGAAUUUUUUUUCUUCUGUAAGCAUUUUCCAAACAACUGUGGUAUGGUACACAUUACAUUUACCAUCUUAGCCAUUUUAUUGUAUUAUUGUAUUAAGAGUUUUUAAUGUUUAUUGGUUUUUGAGAGAGAGAGAGACAGACAGACAGACAGAACACAAGCAGGGGAGGGCCCGAGAGAGAGGGAGACACAGGCAGGCUCCGAAGCAGGCUCCAGGCUCCCAGCUGUCAGCACGGAGCCCGACGCGGGGCUCAAACCCAUGAACCACAUCAUGACCUGAGCUGAAGUUGGACGCUUUACCGACUGAGUCAGCCAGGCACCCCUUAAAAAAUUUUUUAAUGUUUACUUAUUUUUGAGAGAGAGAGACUGAGUGCAAGCAGGAGAGGGGCUGAGAGAGGAGGAAACAGAAUCCGAAGCAGGCCCGGAGCUGUCAGCACAGAGCCCGACGCUGGGGCUCGAACUCACAAACCGCAAGAUUAUGACUUGAGCUGAACACUCAACUGACUGAGUUACCGAGGCGCCCCUAAAGGGUUUUUCAAAAAUAGACAUCAGUUUUAGGUUUGCAGGAAAACUGAGUGAACGGUCCAGAAUAUCCUCAUGGACCCCUCUGCCCCAUCACCCUAGGGUCCCCUAUUACUAAGACCUUGCAUUAGUGGGGAACAUUUGUUACAAAUCAUGAAGAAAUAGUGUGCAUUAUUUUUUUUUAAUUUUUAAAAAAUAUUUUUAUUUUUACUAUUUGAAUGUUUUAUUUUGAGAGAGAGAGUGCCACAGAGUACGAGUGGGGGAGGGGGGGAGAGAGAGAGAGAGAGAGAGAGAGAGAGACACCCACAGAAAUCUGAAACAGGCUCCAGGCUCUGAGCUGUCAGUGCAGAGCCUGAUGGGGGCUCGAACUCACGUUCUGUGAGGUCACGACCAAGCUGAAGUCAGACGCUUAACCGACUGAGCCACCCCGGCGCCCUCAAAAAUGUUUUUAUUUGUGAAAGAGCCAGCACGGGAGGGGGUGUGCAGAGAGAGGGAAGCGGAGGAUCUGAACAAAGCACAGAGCCCGGUGCAGGGCUUGAACUCCUGAACCACGAGAUCAUGACCUGAGCCGAAGUCAGACGCUUAAACAACUGGCCACGCAGGUGCCCCUUGAUACAUUAUUAUUAAUAAAGUCCACAGUUGACAUUAGGGUUCGCUCUAGGUGUUGGACAUGCUCCGGGUUUUGCCCAAGGCAUGACGUCCUGGGUCUGUGACAGCAUGGGCACAGAAUCUACUUUCCCGUCUCAAAACUCCGCACGCUCCACUUACCCAUCCCGCCCCCGCACCCCCGGAUCUUUCCACGGUCUCUACAGAGUCUCUAAAUAGCUGCAGAUGUCACUAUUU
ensembl:lncRNA